rfam:Nicotiana attenuata strain TT chromosome 6, whole genome shotgun sequence.
GCUCUCAUAGCUCAAUUGGUUAGAGCACCCACUUAAUAAGUGGAAGACUUGCGUUUGACUCUCUAUUAGAGCA